AUGGCUGCCGAGGACAAGCUCCUUUGCGAGUGUUGGCGAGACAUUGGACAAGACCCCAAGACGGGCGCCGAACAAAAGCAUUCAACCUUUUGGAUUCGUGUCCACCGAGAGUUUCAUGAGCGCAAGAAGUUUCUGCCUUACCAAUUUGUGAGCACGCGCGGGUGGGUGUCCAUUUCCAAGCGAUGGAGGGUGAUCCAACAAGAGUGCAACAAGUUUUGCGCCACUCUUGAGAGCAUCAAGGCCCGCCCCGUGAGCGGCAUCGGCAUGCAAGACAUGGCAUUUCAAGCUUUGGAGGCAUUCAAGGUUCAACACAAUGGCAAGUGCUUCAACCUCUCCUAUUGCUUUCGGGUCAUCAAG
rnacentral:rRNA from 1 species